UCAGAAUGAACGCUGGCGGCGUGCCUAACACAUGCAAGUCGAGCGAGAAAGUCACCCUACGGGUGGCGAGUACAGCGGCGGACGGGUGAGUAACGCGUGGAUAACCUACCCAGGGAUCUGGGAUAACCCUGCGAAAGCGGGGCUAAUACCGGAUGGUCCCGGCACUCACUAAACGAUGAAUCAUGAGAGCAGAAGAAGGUUUAGGACCUAUACAUAGCUUUUGUGAUUGAUAGUUCAGUGAGUGCCGGGUAAAGGUGGCCUCUGAAAUAAGCCAUCGUCUCUGGAUGGGUCCGCGUCCCAUUAGCUUGUUGGUGGGGUAACGGCCUACCAAGGCAACGAUGGGUAGCUGGUCUGAGAGGAUGAUCAGCCACACUGGGACUGGAACACGGCCCAGACUCCUACGGGAGGCAGCAGUGGGGAAUAUUGGGCAAUGGGCGCAAGCCUGACCCAGCGACGCCGCGUGAGGGAAGAAGGCCUUCGGGUCGUAAACCUNUGUCAGGAGGGAAGAAGUGGGUACCGGUGAAUAGCUGGUGCCUUUGACGGUA
rnacentral:rRNA from 1 species